rnacentral:lncRNA from 1 species
AACUACAACCGUAACGAAAACAACUACGACGAAAACUAAUGUUAUCUUCCCGUCGGAAGAUACACAUUAAUGAAAACAACUACAAAGGUAUCGAAACUACAAAAAACAACAUCGAUUUCAGCAAAACGACUAUAAAUUUGAGCCAAUACAACUACAAAAAAUACGAUCUUCUCCAAUUCACCUUCAUUACCUACUCUUCAACACGGCACAGUUCUUCAUAAAUCAGUGUAUGUGAUUGAUUUCACCAAUUCAACUACAGAAAUACCACAAAAUUACCUACGAAAAUAACAAAUUCAACAGUGAAAAACAUCAAUGCAACUACGAAAAUCACCAGUUCAACUAUGAAAAUAUUAAACACAUAUAUUAGAAGAUUCGUAGAUCUGAGGAAAAAAAAAAGCAAUAAACUUAAAGAAUAGUUUUCAAGUCGGCAAAUCAUUAACAUAAUCAAAAGAACCCAUAACAAUCUCUAACCCUAAAAUCUAGAAUUAGUCAGAUCUUGUAAUCUAAAAUAUUAUACCUAAUUUGAUCCAAUCAAACUAAAAAAGGUUGCAAUUUUUUUGUACUAACUAAAUCGUAUACACAACAGAUCAACAUAGUAUAUUAGCUUCAUAUUCCAAAUAAAUGUAACAAAAAAAAGAACAAGGACACAAAUAGAUAAGGAAACAGACCUCUAAGCGGCGAAUCCGAUGAUCUUGGAAUCGAAAAGCUUCAAGAUGCCACCGGAAUUGGAGGAGAGCUCCUCGAUCUGGAUCUGUAGGUUGUGAUAGAGGACACGGGGCUCUCGUCUUCGCGGCUCUCGAUCUGGAUCUGUAGGUUGCGUUCCUCGGCGGGGAAAAGGUUGCGUUUCUCGGCGAAGAGA